rnacentral:rRNA from 1 species
CGUAGGGUGCAAGCGUUAAUCGGAAUUACUGGGCGUAAAGCGUGCGCAGGUGGUUUUGUAAGUCUGUCGUGAAAUCCCCGGGCUCAACCUGGGAAUGGCGAUGGAGACUGCAAGGCUAGAGUUUGGCAGAGGGGGGUAGAAUUCCACGUGUAGCAGUGAAAUGCGUAGAUAUGUGGAGGAACACCGAUGGCGAAGGCAGCCCCCUGGGUCAAAACUGACGCUCAUGCACGAAAGCGUGGGGAGCAAACAGGAUUAGAUACCCUGGUAGUCCACGCCCUAAACGAUGUCUACUAGUUGUCGGGUCUUAAUUGACUUGGUAACGCAGCUAACGCGUGAAGUAGACCGCCUGGGGAGUACGGUCGCAAGAUUA